GGGCCGUUAGCUCAGUUGGCCAGAGCGCUUCCCUUACAAGGAAGAGGUCACAGGUUCGAGCCCUGUACGGCCCA
rnacentral:tRNA from 1 species